AGAAAAGCUGUUGAACAUUUUCUGGUUCUCCAGAAUAUAUACUGAAUGCAUAUGGUGUACAACGAUCUACACCAGACAUGAACAUUGAAAAUGCAGCAACUGUAAGUUAUUGAUCUUGAAUGGUACCGUUUGGAUUAAGCUCAGCUAAAUCGUGCCGGUGCGUAGUACUGAGACCUGAGCUCACCAAGGCACCAAUUCUCUGGAGAACAUCUUCCCAGUUGCGGAUUCGCUGGGACUGGUAUCUCCAAGCUCUAUAGUCAGAAUCAUGAUGCAGUUAUUGUUUUUGAGCAAAUGUUUGUGCAACUUUUCUUUUGCCUUGAGUGGUGAAGUAAA